CAUAAUCUUCAUCAUCACACAAGACAAAACAACAACAAUGACCAACAUCCUCAUCCUCAUCUGGACGCUCACACUGUUUGCUCAAGAGUGUAGAGGACAGAUCACUGUAACUCAGAGUCCAUCAAUAACAGCAGCUCAACCAGGACAAGAAGUCAGAAUCAACUGUAAAACCAGCAGUAAUGUCUACAGUGAUAGUCAUGGGUCACGGGUGAGCUGGUACUUACAGAAACCUGGAGAAGCUCCUAAACUCCUCAUAUAUCUUGCAACAAGCCGUUACACUGGAACUCCAUCUAGAUUCAGUGGCAGUGGAUCUAACAGUGAUUUCACUCUGACCGUCAGUGGAGUCCAGACUGAAGAUACAGGACAUUAUUACUGUCAGAGUGCACACUGUCCUAGUAGCUGUGUGUUCACACAGUGA